GUGAGGAAUUUUCCGCAAUGGGCGAAAGCCUGACGGAGCAAUGCCGCGUGAAGGAUGAAGGCCUAUGGGUUGUAAACUUCUUUUCUCAGAAAAGAAUUAUGACGGUAUCUGAGGAAUAAGCAUCGGCUAACUCUGUGCCAGCAGCCGCGGUAAGACAGAGGAUGCAAGCGUUAUCCGGAAUGAUUGGGCGUAAAGCGUCUGUAGGUUGUUUAAAAAGUAUUCUGUCAAAGAUUAGGGCUUAACCCUAGAUAGGCAGAAUAAACUUUUAAGCUAGAGUUUGAUAGAGGCAGAGGGAAUUCCCGGUGGAGCGGUGAAAUGCGUAGAUAUCGGGAGGAACACCAAAGGCGAAGGCACUCUGCUGGGCCAAUACUAACACUGAGAGACGAAAGCGAGGGGAGCAAAUGGGAUUAGAAACCCGGGUAGUCC
rnacentral:rRNA from 1 species